AAAUUGUCAGAGCAUAGAUUCACAAAUAAUAUGUUGUAUGUCUUAUAUAUAUGCUUGACGUGUUUCAUGUAAU